rnacentral:rRNA from 1 species
AACGAACGCUGGCGGCAUGCCUAACACAUGCAAGUCGAACGAGACCUUCGGGUCUAGUGGCGCACGGGUGCGUAACGCGUGGGAACCUGCCCUUAGGUUCGGAAUAACUCACCGAAAGAGGUGCUAAUACCGGAUAAUGUCUUCGGACCAAAGAUUUAUCGCCAUUGGAUGGGCCCGCGUUGGUUUAGCUAGUUGGUAGGGUAAAAGCCUACCAAGGCGACGAUGCAUAGCUGGUCGGUGAGGAUGACCAGCCACACUGGGACUGAGACACGGCCCAGACUCCUACGGGAGGCAGCAGUGGGGAAUAUUGGACAAUGGGCGAAAGCCUGAUCCAGCAAUGCCGCGUGAGUGAUGAAGGCCUUAGGGUUGUAAAGCUCUUUUACCCGGGAUGAUAAUGACAGUACCGGGAGAAGAAGCACCGGCUAACUCCGUG